GAGAGCAAAAAAUCCUCAGUAUCUCCUGCUCAAUGAAAUAUAAAUAGCCGCAGUUAUCCUGUGCUAAGGUAGCGUAAUCACUUGCCUAAUAAUUGUAGGAUAGAAUGAAUGGAAAAACAAGCAAACUUCUUUAUUAAAAAAGUUACUUGAAUUUAAACGAUAAGUAAAAAUCCUUAUUUUAUCAGGAGGACGACAAGACCCUGUCAAGCUUCACACUAAUGUUUUGCUGGGGAGGCAAAAAAACUAUAACUUUAUUAAAAAGAACAAAAACAACCUUUUAUAAGAAUAUAUCAAGCUACUGCAGGGAUAACAGCAUAAUUCCUUCCCAAAGACCUUAUAAAAGAAGGAUUUUAUGACCUCGAUGUUGAAUUAAGAACCUUCUAGGAGCAACACCCUAAAAAGGAAGUCUGUUCGACUUUUAAUCCCUU
rnacentral:rRNA from 1 species